GGUAUUAUGACUAUACGAAGGUAUUGAAAUAAGGCUUUAAUUGGGUGCUAAGAGAAGGGCUGAACAAAAGUGCUCUUUAUUUUUUUUAAUAAUUUAAUUUGAUAUAAAAAUGAAAAAGUUUUUAUGAAUUUUUGGGACAAGAAGACCCUAUGAAUUUUUCUUUGUUAAGUUUUUGUGAUUUUUAUAAAAAAAUUAAAAGUUUUAAUAAAGUUGGUUGGGGUGACUAUUUAAGAUUAAGAAUCUUAAAUUUUGGUUGUAGUUAGAUCCAUUAUUAGUGAUUGUAUGAAUAAAAUACUCUAGGGAUAACAGCGUAAUUAUUUUGGAUAGUUCUUAUAGAUAAAGUAGUUUGCGACCUCGAUGUUGAAUUAAGAUUCUUUUGUAGUGUAGAGGCUAUAAAAAGGAGUUUGCUCAACUUUUAAAUUCUU
rnacentral:rRNA from 1 species